AUGUGGAAACCGUUCAGGCAGCUCAUGCCCAAAGAGCAUUCCGGCCCUUCUGGCGGCCUCGAGGGCCGAACCAUCGAUGUCGGCAAUGUGAAAGUGCACGUCCGGGAAGCCAUUGCCGAGGGUGGCUUCUCGUGCGUGUACCUCGCCCGAGACCUGACCAACCCGGCGAAGCAGUACGCGCUCAAGCAUGUCAUUGUCCAUGACAAGGAGUCGCUGGACCUGGUGCAGAAGGAGAUCACGGUGAUGAGGGCGCUCAAGGGGCACCCGAACGUGGUCACUCUCGUCGCGCAUGCCAUACUGGAUAUGGGCCGUGGGAGGGAGGCACUUCUGCUGAUGGAGUUCUGCGAGAGAUCGCUGGUUUCUGCCUUGGACACUAGAGGUACUGCAGGGUUCUAUGAUGAGGAGCAGGUUGCUCUCAUUUUCCGGGAUGUUUGCAAUGCGGUCUUCGCGAUGCACUGCCAGACACCACCUGUUGCUCACAGGGACCUAAAGGCUGAAAAUGUGCUUCUUGGUGCUGACGGGGCUUGGAAAUUAUGUGAUUUUGGUAGUGUAUCAACAAACCAUAAGUGCUUUGAUAAACCAGAGGAGAGGGGCAUUGAAGAAGAUGUCAUCAGAAAACAUACAACUCCUGCUUAUAGGGCUCCUGAGAUGUGGGACUUAUACAGGAGGGAAGUUAUUAGUGAGAAAGUAGAUAUAUGGGCUCUUGGAUGUCUCAUGUAUAGAAUCUGCUACUUAAAAUCAGCUUUUGAUGGAGAAUCAAAGCUUCAGAUCCUCAAUGGGAACUAUCGUAUCCCUGAAUUACCGAAGUACUGUUCUUCCAUUACAAGUCUGAUCGAAGAGAUGCUUCAGUCCUCUCCAGAUGCCAGACCAGACAUUACACAGGUAUGGUUUCGUGUUAAUGAGUUACUUCCUUUGGAGCUGCAAAAGGAUUUACCUGAUGGAUCCCCAUCUGGAUCAGCAUUUGAAUUGCAAACUACUGAAGAUGAAGGACCCUCUCCAUCAUGGUCAAGAGACAAUGUGAGAAGUACACCUCCGAAAGGCCCUUCCAGUUUGAGGUCACAAGUUCCUGUUGAGAGUAAGGGUUCUGCAGGUGCAUUUUGGUCAACUCAACAUGCACAAGAACUAGCUUUUGCGGAUGACAAGGGGUCAGUUCUAGAUCAAGAGCCCAUAUAUGAUGGCAUAACAAAGCAACCUCAGGCAAAGAACCAGAACACGACACGGAAUGCAUACAGACAGUCUCUUUCUGCUUCUGUUGAUAGUUCUCCUGGGGAUUUUGAAAUAAGGUUUUCUCCAAAUGGUUCAGAAUAUGGCCUAGAGAAAACCCAAAACACUAAACCAGAUAACAAAACCAGUGCACAGACUGCUACUUUUAGCUCCUUUGUGGCAGACUUUGAUAAUGUUAAGGUGAGCUCAGAGGACAAUGCCGGCAGUUUAAACACGACAAGUAAAUUGAAAGAACAACAGCUGGAGGCCGAAGUAACUUUACUCAAGGAGCAAUUGAAGAUAGCAAACUUGGAGAAGGAAGAAAUUUCACUGAAGUUUGAUAGAUUGUCAGCCAUUUGCUCCUCUCAGAGGCGGGAGAUACAGGAACUUAAACAAGCUCUAGCCACAGCUUCUGCACCAGCGCCAGUUAAGGAGUUGAAAGAAAAUUUGAAGGCUGAAUUCUCCCCACCCAGCACAAGCCUUGACACUCCGCCAAGGGAGAAGAUUGCAGGAACCCCACCAGAGCUCCGGCAAGGUCUAUUUACAUCAAGUCCAGGGACACCAAGCCCAGAUCCCAAGCCAUGGUCCGCUUUUCCUGAAGAGCCGAAAGCUCAAGCAGUUGUAAAAUGUGCCCGCCCGAGGUCGGUCCGAACUUUAAGGGCAUCACAAAGCAACAAAACCGGCUCGCUUAGUCAGUCAAAAGCAAACUCUGGUGCCGUCCCCUUUGCCUUCGGUCAAGAUAGCUUUAAGGCUGUACCUUCUGGCACCGUGCCUUCUGAGAUGUCAAAUUUGGGGAAUGCUUCUCAGUCCCUCAACACUCUGAAGGCUGAAGUGGAGAAAGAUGCACCCUACCAACCAGCUGGAUGGACUGGGUUUUAA
rnacentral:rRNA from 1 species